rnacentral:rRNA from 1 species
GUCGAGAAUCUUUCACAAUGGGGGCAACCCUGAUGGAGCGACGCCGCGUGGAGGAUAAGGUCUUCGGAUUGUAAACUCCUGUCAUGCGUGAACAAGGUUGCUUGGUUAAUACCUGGGCAAAUUGAUGGUAACGCAAGAGGAAGAGACGGCUAACUCUGUGCCAGCAGCCGCGGUAAUACAGAGGUCUCAAGCGUUGUUCGGAAUCACUGGGCGUAAAGGGUGCGUAGGUGGCGUGGUAAGUCAGAUGUGAAAGCCCGGGGCUCAACCGCGGAACUGCAUCCGAUACUGCCAUGCUAGAGUACUGGAGAGGUGACUAGAAUUCUCGGUGUAGCAGUGAAAUGCGUAGAUAUCGAGAGGAAUACCAAAGGCGUAGGCAGGUCACUGGACAGUUACUGACACUGAGGCACGAAGGCCAGGGGAGCGAACGGGAUUAGAAACCCUAGUAGUCC